GGAUCCAGACUUUGAUUAUGGCUCAGGAUGAACGCUAGCUACAGGCUUAACACAUGCAAGUCGAGGGGCAGCGGGAUUGAAGCUUGCUUCAAUUGCCGGCGACCGGCGCACGGGUGAGUAACGCGUAUCCAACCUUCCGUACACUCAGGGAUAGCCUUUCGAAAGAAAGAUUAAUACCUGAUGGUACCUUAAGCACACAUGUAAUUAAGAUUAAAGAUUUAUCGGUGUACGAUGGGGAUGCGUUCCAUUAGGUAGUAGGCGGGGCAACGGCCCACCUAGCCAACGAUGGAUAGGGGUUCUGAGAGGAAGGUCCCCCACAUUGGAACUGAGACACGGUCCAAACUCCUACGGGAGGCAGCAGUGAGGAAUAUUGGUCAAUGGACGAGAGUCUGAACCAGCCAAGUAGCGUGAAGGAUGAAGGUCCUACGGAUUGUAAACUUCUUUUAUAAGGGAAUAAACCCUCCCACGUGUGGGAGCUUGUAUGUACCUUAUGAAUAAGCAUCGGCUAACUCCGUGCCAGCAGCCGCGGUAAUACGGAGGAUGCGAGCGUUAUCCGGAUUUAUUGGGUUUAAAGGGAGCGCAGACGGGUCGUUAAGUCAGCUGUGAAAGUUUGGGGCUCAACCUUAAAAUUGCAGUUGAUACUGGCGUCCUUGAGUGCGGUUGAGGUGUGCGGAAUUCGUGGUGUAGCGGUGAAAUGCUUAGAUAUCACGAAGAACUCCGAUUGCGAAGGCAGCACACUAAUCCGUAACUGACGUUCAUGCUCGAAAGUGUGGGUAUCAAACAGGAUUAGAUGCCCUGGUAGUCCACACGGUAAACGAUGGAUACUCGCUGUUGGCGAUAUACUGUCAGCGGCUUAGCGAAAGCGUUAAGUAUCCCACCUGGGGAGUACGCCGGCAACGGUGCAACUCAAAGGAAUUGACGG
rnacentral:rRNA from 1 species